GGGAGGCUCAUUGCUGCGAUGGAUGUGGGGACAAGCUGUGUUCUUCACCCCUGACCUCCCACUGGCGCCCACUCAGCAGCAGAGUGACAGCAGCGGUCAGGAAGAUCUCCAGGGCUUUGGCACAGCAGCCCAGUUUGCUGAAAAUCCGUUGUUAUCCCAACUGCAUUGUGGCAGGAUUCCCUCUGCUGCCAGCUGAAGAAUCUCCCGAUAAAUAUGAAGAAAUGUUUACUGCAAAUGCUUCAACUUGCUUCAAAAUGCAGCUUAAAAUACAGACUUCUUUCUGCUUACCCCUUCUGUAUCCAUUAGGCACCAUUCUUUGACAGUGAUGAAUUGGAUGAGAAAUAAUACAGGCUUGGUCUUCACUGGCAUUUUCAUUAAAAUAUUUUGCCUUUGAAAGUGUG